AGUGAAGUGCCUGAAAAAGGAUUACCAUGAUAGGGUAAAUAAUGUGAUAAAUCACCUUCGUUA
rnacentral:tRNA from 1 species